UACGAAGGGGGCGAGCGUUGUUCGGAAUUACUGGGCGUAAAGGGCGCGCAGGCGGCUCUGAAAGUCAGAUGUGAAAGCCCCGGGCUUAACCUGGGAAUUGCAUUUGAUACUCUGGAGCUUGAGUACGGGAGAGGAGAGUGGAAUUCCCAGUGUAGAGGUGAAAUUCGUAGAUAUUGGGAAGAACACCGGUGGCGAAGGCGGCUCUCUAGUACGGUACUGACGCUGAGACGCGAAAGCGUGGGGAGCGAACAGG
rnacentral:rRNA from 1 species